rnacentral:tRNA from 1 species
GAGAUAUGGCUGAGUGGUCGAUAGCGGCGGUCUUGAAAACCGUUAAACCGAAAGGUUUCGGGGGUUCGAAUCCCUC